UGCUAGUACAUCUGCUCUGGCAGUUUUGCUCUGCGAAUCAAAAGACAUCCCAUUAAUUAAAGUUCCUUUUCCUUUCAUUUUUAUUCAGCUUGUGAAAUGUGACCAGUAUUCACAAAAAAAGAAAAGAAAAAAAAAGAAAAAAAAAAAGAAAGAAAGAAAGAAAGAAGAAAGUUUCAGGCCACUUUAGUCACAAAUAUCUACCCAAAGGUUCCCUUGGCUGACAACCCAGGGCACAACUCCUGCUUCCGUGAGUGCCUAAUACAAGAGUUGAAGCUCCCGGAGCCUUCUUUGAAAAAUGCCAUGCCUAAUGUUCUACUACAGAUGUUUGCCUUGAGUCAAAUAUGGAGCUUAUGUAAAAUUAUAUGUGGGUUGGUGGUGAGUAUUGCUUUUAUGAGAUAAAGAAUCAUUUCACAUUAUUCUCAUUUUACUUUAAUGCUUGGGGUCAUUUAAACUGAGCAAUAGCACUUGACUCUGAAGAAACAGUGGUAGAAAUGCAAAUAAAUGCCCCCAAAAUAGAAUAUUUUGACCUCA
rnacentral:lncRNA from 12 species